UACGUAGGCAGCGAGCGUUGUUCGGAGUUACUGGGCGUAAAGGGUGCGUAGGCGGUUGUUUUAAGUUUGGUGUGAAAUCUCCCGGCUCAACUGGGAGGGUGCGCCGAAUACUGAAUGACUAGAGUGCGGGAGAGGAGAGUGGAAUUCCUGGUGUAGCGGUGAAAUGCGUAGAUAUCAGGAGGAACACCGGUGGUGUAGACGGCUCUCUGGACCGUAACUGACGCUGAGGCACGAAAGCGUGGGUAGCAAACAGG
rnacentral:rRNA from 1 species